rnacentral:rRNA from 1 species
UACAGAGGGGGCAAGCGUUAUUCGGAAUCACUGGGCUUAAAGCGCGUGUAGGCGGGGGGGAACGUCGGCCACUGAAAGCCCCCGGCUCAACCGGGGAAGGGGUGCCGAAACGGCCCGCCUGGAGGGGCGUAGGGGGACCUGGAACUUCCGGUGGAGCGGUGAAAUGCGUUGAGAUCGGAAGGAACGCCCGUGGCGAAAGCGAGGUCCUGGACGUCAUCUGACGCUGAGACGCGAAAGCUAGGGGAGCGAACGGG